UUCCUGGGAGAGUGAUUUAUAAACUGCUGGGCCUUCUGGGUAUGGCUUUCGACGGUGGAGCAAAGCCCAUUGUCAUCAGUGCAAAGUCAAGGACAAGGGAGUCUGGAAAUCUGGUAGCCACAGGUGUACCAGGAGGAACAUGAUACCAUCUGUCCCCAGGGCUGCAUGCAACGAGGCCAUUCCGUAGGGUGUCCUUCAUGGCAGGACUGUGAAACAUCAUCUUGCUUAUUAAACACCAGCAGAGAUUUCUAAUAAUUCAAGAGCCCAGGAAGUCCAGUACUGAGAACUAAGUUGUGGGACUUCACAGACCCACCUGCAUGGCCCUGCUUUGUCCUUCCGUGGCUCCAUACACUGCUGCCCUCUGUGGAGGCUGUGGAGUGAGUGUCCAGGAAGCUUCGGAAUGGCCCGAGGGCCUCAACCAGAGGAGACACGCACUUGGCUCUCAAUGGGCUUGGCGACAGCCAGAUAGGCCAGCAUCGUGCAUUGGGUGUAUUUGGCAGCUAUUUGGCCACAUGUCUGAGGAUGGAUCUAUCUGUAUGUUCAACACGGGACUCUGACGUUUGUUUAGACGUCGUGAUAUUCCCAGAAAGCCUGAUGAGAGUCUGACAUGAGAGUUCCUCCUCUUUAUGGCAGAAAGGGGCCCUGCCUGACCUAGCUCCCCAAAAGGAUGCUCUGCUAAGCGAGGUGAAUGAAGAGCCAGACAAACAGGGGGCAGACAGUAUAACGCAAAACUUCACAACCUCAGGAAAACAGGAUAACUUGAGGACAGUUACAAAGAGAAACUUUUUUGGCCCCUUGAGAUGUGUGAUGCCAGCUCGAUUCCCUUCAACAGCACGGGGCGGGGUGAGUGACAAACAGUAGCACAGAAUAGCACGUAGAGAUGUGACCUGACUGCUCUUCGUUUCCAUACCUCUUUCUUUCUACCCUGAAUUAGCCUGACUUUGCACUAAAGACAAGCAAAUCAGAUGAAAGGAAACUUUCUGCUUUGACAUAUGAAAAACAAAAAUACAACACCUACCCACACAUCCAACUCUUCAAAAGAAAAUACAGAGACAAGUUGCUAGAAGACAAAUCAUUUCUCCAAGUGUAUUCUCAGAGCCAGAGUUCAGAAACGGUGGAAGUUUCUGAACUCUAGCAAUGCUUUUCAGAAGGGACAGAAAUCACUCUUAAAGGGGUGAUGCUUUUAUUCUCAGAUUCUGGGCUCUUGCCCCUUCCGUAAAACUGUGGCUCGGACAUGUCUACACAAUACAGUAUGGGCUCCAUCACGUACCUUCUGAAACUCAUCAAAUGUUGCCCCAACCUCUUCCCUGGUCUCAUCUCCUCUUUCUUAACAUCAUCCUUAAACAUCAUCACCUUGUAAAUAUGUACAUUCAAUUAUUUUACCAUGACUACCUGCUGUAUGUCACAGGCUGGAAGCUGCAAAACUCUAAAGAAAAAUGCUCUUCUAACGGAAUGUUCGUUGAGGUCAUAGAUUAUUUAGGACCACACAGGCAGUCACCUACUUGGUCCACUCAUAAGACUGGUCCUAGGAAAAAUUCAUCCCUGUGCCUAAAUUGGGGCCAAAUCAGAGCUAAUGAUAUUCUCCAAACCAAACUAUUCAAAGAACACACACAAUAGAAUUAAUUUCUAGGAGUUGGACAAGCAUGGAU